rnacentral:other from 1 species
UAAGUCCUGGUGUGUUCGUUCUAAUACCUUAUCGUUUUGACCGACAAGUUAUAAUUACGGGAGUCUGUUUGUCUACAUUCCAAGUAUAAGCCUCCGGUUGAGAGGACAUAUAAGGUUUGUAGCAGGACACCUCUACAUUCCAAGUAUAAGCCUCCGGUUGAGAGGACAUAUAAGGUUUGUAGCAGGACACCCACCUGCCAAGAGCGGGUUCAAAACAAAGGCUUGAAAAGACGGCACAAUCGGGACUUAU